AAACUGCAAGAAUCUUUCUUUCCAGGAACAUCUGGGGCAUAGAUAACCGGAGCAUACAAGCAGCUGGGCAGGCAGCGGUAAAAAUAACCUUGAUAACUGGCUGCUAAUCCUGCCCCAUGAAACCGCCUGGACUCCAGAGGCCUGACCUUUUGGGGCGGGGAGAUGAUACGACAGGGGUGGCUUGGCUUGCUUCCCUCCUUGUGUAGCUGGACUGAACCAGAUGGGAAGCAGUUGCUAUAAAAGGCUCCACAGGGACCGAAAUGCAGCAGGUACCAAACAGACAGGCAAGAUCGAGGAACCAGAGAGUUAAGUGAAGAGUGAAUCAACAGGAUAGCUCUGGAGAGGCAACGUGAGGGCUUCAGCUGCACUGUGGCAGCCAUGAAGCUAGUCCCUGGUGACAUUGCAAAAAGACUGGAGGAGAUGGUGCUGCUGACGGCUCAGAAUCUGCCUCAGGUAGAAGUGGCUACUAGUUACACCAUCCUCCGAGAGCUGGGCAGUGGCUCAUAUGGACAUGUCCUGAUGGCAGUCCACCAGCGCCAAGGGACCCCCAUGGCAUUGAAAUUUGUGCAUAAAAAAGGCACAGAACUGCAAGAUUUCCUGAGCGAAUACUGUAUCGCGCUGACCCUAGGGGCUCACCCCUGCAUUGCCACCGCCCUUGGCAUUGCCUUCCAGACCCCACAACACUAUGUCUUUGCACAGGAGCUGGCCUUGGCCAAUGACCUCUUCUCGCUCAUGGUGCCACAGGUUGGUGUGCCAGAGCAGCGGGUCAAACGCUGUGUUCUCCAGCUGGCAAGUGCCCUGGACUACAUGGAGACCAAGGGGCUGGUCCACCGAGACGUCAAACCAGAGAAUGUGCUGCUGUGUGAUCCCGAGUGUCGGCGCAUCAAGCUGACUGACUUUGGGCUGAGCUGCCCACGGGGCCACCCCAUUGAAGCCUUGCCAGAGAGUCUGCCCUACACCGCACCCGAGUUGUGUGGCUUGGGCUCCAAGGCUCGUCUAGAGGCCCAGCCCAGCCUUGACACGUGGGCUCUGGGAGUGCUCCUCUUCUGCGUGCUCACUGGCUACUUCCCCUGGCUCACAGCUGUGCCUGCCGACCGGCAUUACCGCAGCUUUGCCUCCUGGCAUCGCAGCCCUCGCUUUGCCCCACGGCCACCCCAUUGGGAGCGCUUCACACCCCCGGCACUGGAGAUGCUGAAAGGGCUGUUGAUGCCCAACCCUGGUCACCGUAGCCCUGCUAAGGAGGUGAUGAAUUAUAUCAAAGCUCCUUGGUUGCUGCCAGAGACCCAAGGCCGGAUCAGGCCCAGCAGGGACCAUCUUUUGGGCACUAGCCGGCGAUGCUGAGAGACUAGGCUGGCUGAGCAGAGAAGAGAAGGGCUGACCGUCACCCCUUCACUCUAGUCAUCGAGGGACCAAAGACACCCAUCACCAAACUCUACACCUCCUCCGCCCUGAGAAUGAAAAUGUGCCUGCAAUCCAGCCUGGAAAACAAAGAAAAGACUUUGUUAUCCUCAGAAGGCCAAGAAAACCAUCACUAGGGAAGAGAAGGAGAACUGAGUUGAAGGACCACUCCCUCCUAUGUGACUUCAUCUUAUCAGGAACAACAUCUCCCCUGCCACCUAAUCCCCCACUCUAACUCUGUAUCAGAAAUUCAAAAAACUUGAUUUCAGCCUCUCCUUGGUCAGUAGCUGGCUAUAUUAUCCUUGAAAUAAAGCCUCAUGGGAAGGAAUCAAAUGGGGCUACUUUUAGUGGGCCCAAACACCUCGACCUCCUGCUGCCUCCUCUAGCUCAGAUGGAGUGAAUCUCAGUAAACUUGCUUCUGGAUGAAUAGGAUGGGAAUGAAUAGCUUCUCCUCUGCGACAACAAUAAUCAGAAUGAUUAAGUAUCUUCCAUGUUGUUGUGCAUUAUUCAAAAUCACUCUUGCUUUAGCGUUGCUUGAGCAUUGACCACGGAUAUUUACUAGCAAUUAUUCAGCUCUUUAUCUGAGCCAUCUUGGAAUGUUUCGAGAAUUUUCUACCAGGAACAGCUGGGUAGGCAAAGUUGCCAAGAAGUUCUUAGAGAGAAAACUGGUUUGGGAUUGAAGUUUUUGUCAUUCUAGCACUGCCUGCCUAUAAGCUUGCUUAUAAGUUGCUAUAUUACCAGCUCAACUUGUAUAUUAUGAACCUACCCAGCCACUACACUCAUCUUUGGAUGCCCUGCUUUGGGUGCCCCUAUCUUCUGAGAUUAGGCUGGUGGUAAACAGGGAGAGGACCUUCUUGGUAGUGGCACCAAAACUCUGGAACUCUCUCCCUAGGGAAAUUCACCUGUCUCCUUCACAUGUCUUCAACCAGCAUGUAAAGACUUCUUUUUUUGUUUGACAAUUCCUUAAUGAUCCCUACUUCUCGCUCAAUUUUUUAAUUGUUUUUAUGCUUUUGUAUGUAUUUUGUACCUGGUGUUGUUUUAAUGAUGUGGGAUUUUUGUAGGUUUUAAUGGUUUUUAAGAUGUAAUUUUAUUAUGUAUUGUGAAAAGGGCCUUGGUGGCUCUUUUGAGGGCAGAAAGGUGGGAUAUACAUUUUGUAAAAUAAAUAAUUUGUAAAUAAA